AUUGAACGCUGGCGGUAGGCUUAACACAUGCAAGUCGAGCGGGGUGAUGGUGCUUGCACUAUCACUUAGCGGCGGACGGGUGAGUAAUGCUUAGGAAUCUGCCUAUUAGUGGGGGACAACAUCUCGAAAGGGAUGCUAAUACCGCAUACGUCCUACGGGAGAAAGCAGGGGAUCACUUGUGACCUUGCGCUAAUAGAUGAGCCUAAGUCGGAUUAGCUAGUUGGUGGGGUAAAGGCCUACCAAGGCGACGAUCUGUAGCGGGUCUGAGAGGAUGAUCCGCCACACUGGGACUGAGACACGGCCCAGACUCCUACGGGAGGCAGCAGUGGGGAAUAUUGGACAAUGGGGGAACCCUGAUCCAGCCAUGCCGCGUGUGUGAAGAAGGCCUUAUGGUUGUAAAGCACUUUAAGCGAGGAGGAGGCUCUUUUGGUUAAUACCCAAGAUGAGUGGACGUUACUCGCAGAAUAAGCACCGGCUAACUCUGUGCCAGCCGCCGCAGUAAGAC
rnacentral:rRNA from 1 species